rnacentral:lncRNA from 1 species
AUUGCAAUGUUGAAGGUCACUAAAGAAGAAAUUGUCCGGCCUAUCAGGCGACUGUCAAGAGCAGGAAGAAGGAUGGGACUUCUAAAGGUACAUCUGAAAUGCUAGUUAUUGAAACUAAUCUAACGAUUUUCUCUUCUUCUAGUUGGGUUCUUGAUUCUAGUUCAAGUACUCAUUUGUGCACUUCAAUGUAGGGUUUUGAAGAAAUUAGGGGGC